GAUGAACGCUGGCGGCGUGCUUAACACAUGCAAGUCGAACGAAGCACUUUUGUCAGAUCCCUUCGGGGUGACGACGUUAGUGACUGAGUGGCGGACGGGUGAGUAACGCGUGGAUAACCUGCCUUACACAGGGGAAUAACAGUUAGAAAUGACUGCUAAUACCGCAUAAGCGCACAGAAUCGCAUGAUGCAGUGUGAAAAACUCCGGUGGUAUGAGAUGGAUCCGCGUCUGAUUAGCUAGUUGGAGGGGUAACGGCCCACCAAGGCAACGAUCAGUAGCCGGCCUGAGAGGGCGACCGGCCACAUUGGGACUGAGACACGGCCCAAACUCCUACGGGAGGCAGCAGUGGGGAAUAUUGCACAAUGGGGGAAACCCUGAUGCAGCGACGCCGCGUGAGCGAAGAAGUAUUUCGGUAUGUAAAGCUCUAUCAGCAGGGAAGAAAAUGACGGUACCUGACUAAGAAGCCCCGGCUAACUACGUGCCAGCCGCCGCAGUA
rnacentral:rRNA from 1 species